CCCUAGUAUCACUAGUAUAAAGUAUAAGUAUACAAUUGAAAAUAAAAAUUUCUGGCGGUUAAUUCUAGAUUAGAGGAGCUUGUUAAAUUAUUAAGAAUUAACUCUUUAUAUUUUAGAUAUAAAAGUUUAUUCAUCUCCGUUAUUAGAUAGCUUAUUAAUAAAAUUAAUUUUUAUAUCUCAGGUCAAGAUGUAGCAUUUAUAAUUAUAAAUUAGCUACAGUUAUGAAAGAUUGGAUCUUUAUAUGGGGGUUGAAUAAUUAGGGUGAAAGUGAAUUUAAUUGUAAUUGUAAUUAGAAGAUUAUAUUGAAUUAUUAUAAUUAAUGUA
rnacentral:rRNA from 1 species